rnacentral:pre_miRNA from 1 species
GUUUUACUCCCUCCGUUUGAAAUUACUUGUCGUAGAAAUGGAUGUAUCUAGAUAUUUUUUAGUUCUAGAUACAUCCAUUUCUACAACAAGUAAUUCGAAACGGAGGGAGUAUUUA